GGAUAUAGCUCAGUUGGUAGAGUGCUUGCCUUGCAAGCACAAGGCCCUGAGUUCGAUACCCAGCACCA
rnacentral:tRNA from 1 species